rnacentral:tmRNA from 1 species
GGGGGCGUUCCGGAUUCGACGCCGGUAUCAACUCCUGCGGUGCAUGCCGAGAGCGUAAUGACUCUCGUAAAUCAAUCAUUACAACUUUAUAGUUGCCAACGACGACAACUACGCUCUAGCGGCCUAAACAGCCCGCUAGCGAUUGCCUCAGGGAUGCCUGUAAACAUGAGUUUUGCAAUCGUCAUAUAGAACAGGAUCGCGGAAAGGCUGUCUGGGGCCGGACCGUUAAAACUUAACCAGACUCGCCCAAGUCACCCUGCCCGUCGGGCGGAUGAGGGUUAAUUUAAUAGACGACGCUAAGCAUGUAGAUCCAAUGGACAAGAACUGACGGACGGGAGUUCAACUCUCCCCGCCUCCACCA